rnacentral:snRNA from 15 species
AAAAGUACCGAUGUACUCUUUUCGUAAAUGGAACCGUAUCCGUUGCCCGUGUACUGCACUUUCGCAUGGGCUGACUCGUGUGGCUGCUUCGAGUUGAAGUAAGCCAACAUCUAAAUUUUUGCGUGUGGGGCUGCGUUCGCGCGGCCCUGG